UGCAUUUUAUUUUAUUUUAUUGCACUUUAUGCUUGUUUGGCCUUUGUUGACUUCUGUUGGCCUUGGAUCUUGGCUAUUUUGAUCAUAGGUCUCAUCAAACUCAAUGGAUCUUGGGUGUUGAUGGGCUGAAAACCCUAAUCAACCAAGAUAGAUGAUUGAUUUUGAUGAUGACUUGAUCAAUCCGUUUAUCCAAUUUGGGUUUGGUUUCUCUUGUCUUAUUCUUCAUCAUCAUCUAUUUUUCUUCCUUUUUUU
rnacentral:lncRNA from 1 species